AUAGUUUAUCAUGUGUAUUAGUUAUAUGUUAGGGUGCUAUCAAGAUUUCGUCGCCGUUUUAAAACGCGAGUCAUGACAAAAACAAGGGCGUGGGACACGGCUAUGUCCUGGACGGCGGUUUUAUAUCACGGGACCCUUCUAGAACUGAGCCGCUGCAAACGGCUGUGAGCCGGCAGGCCGUCCUUAGUUACCAGGAGGAUGGUAAUCUACCGUGUAGCUAUGGUUACAGAUACAUAUCACCGCGGAUAAUAGUCGGAAUCAUCGAUGGAGAGCGUAUAAAGCGAUGAAUUUAUGCCGAGAAAUGCAGUAACGUUACCUCCUCACCAACGGUCCAACAAACGGCCAACUCAGCGUCGACGUUUAGCGGCUCAGACGUUGACUAAAACCUAUUAAAUGUCACAUUUUCCGGUUCAUAAGUGACAGUUUUCAUACUCACAUCAUGGUCCGUCGCUGUUAACGAUCAGUGGGAAAUACCAGAGUGGAUGAUCCGUGGUUAGCCUGCAUCUCCAUCCUCCCCCUACCGCCGCUAGUCCGCUACACCAGCAGCUAGAUGGGAGGCAACAUCGUCCAGUAGAUGUCAGAGCAGCCUGGACCUGACGCUCCCUGGAGGAGACAGCAGCAGAUCUGGACAGCUUCCCAGUUUUCCAUCAACCACUACAAAGACUGAUGGAAGAGAAAAGCUUUCUCACAUGAAGCCUCUUCUGCAGCUGCUGCUGAUCCACCACAGCGUCUCGUUCGGCUUCAGCUGUGGCGUGUCAACACGCCCCAUCUCGCUGGGAGGUUGUGCAAAUUUGGCGUGCCUGAAGGGCGGGGACGAGAGCUGGCAGUGAGGACGAGUCUGUGGUUUGACUCAGAACAAUCCUGAUGUGUGCUUACUGCUGCAGGGGAAAGCGUUGUGACUGUCAGCUUCAAACAGCAUCCUCCUGUUUUAUAUUGUGUCUUUUAAUGCCAAAUAAAUACACACAGGUUCCCACACAGGAAGCAUCAAAGACUCAAGCCAACCAAGUUAAUAAAUGUAACAGUGUCCGAACAAAGAAUAGGUAGAAGUAAAAGUUCUCUUUUCCUACCCUCUUCUUAUCUCCUCUAUUAACUCAUAAAUUCACAAAUGUAUUUACAUUAUUUCAAGAAAUUCCCAAAUGUAAUUACCAACGAUAUGCAAACAACUAUCUACGGAAGAGGACUGGGCCCAGGUAGGAGGAAAAAAUAAUGAGGGGAGGAUUUUUUUUUUUCAUUAUGCAGUUUUAGAAAAAAGUCGAAAUGACGAGAAUAAAAUUGGAAUGUGGAGAAUUAAGUUGAAUAACCUCAAUAUCUUAGAGUGUAGUGAUACUAAAAUCCCCAUAAAAAUAAAUAUUGCUAUUCUUGGUACUAGGCUAUCAUAACUAUUGUUUUGGGGAAAUCUGCUUUUGUGUAAUUUAUGUGAUUUUUUUUGACAUACUGUAUUAUAUUAUAUAUUAUAUACAUACUCUCUC